CUACGGGACGCUCCAGUCGAGAAUAGUCUACAAUGGACGAAAGUCUGAUAGUGCAACGCCGCGUGGGUGAUGAAGCAUUUCGGUGUGUAAAACCCUUUUCUUUGUGAGCAAUGCCAUUAUGGUUAAUAGCUAUAGUGGAGCGAUAUUAGCAGAGGAAUAAGCCACGGCUAACUCCGUGCCAGCAGCCGCGGUAACACGGGGGUGGCGAGCGUUGUCCGGAAUCACUAGGCGUAAAGGGCAGGUAGGCGGAAUAUCUAGUCAUUUGUUAAAGGCAUUGGCUCAACCAAUGUACGGCAUAUGAUACUGGUAUUCUAGAAUUUGGUAUGGGAAGACGGAAUUCCUGGUGUAGCGGUGGAAUGCGCAGAUAUCAGGAAGAACACCGGAGGCGAAGGCGGUCUUCUGGGCCAAAAUUGACGCUCAGCUGCGAAGGUGUGGGUAUCAAACAGGAUUAGAUACCCCGGUAGUC
rnacentral:rRNA from 1 species